CCUACGGGAGGCAGCAGUGAGGAAUAUUGGUCAAUGGACGAGAGUCUGAACCAGCCAAGUAGCGUGAAGGAUGACAGCCCUAUGGGUUGUAAACUUCUUUUAUAUGGGAAUAAAAUGUUCCACGUGUGGGAUUUUGUAUGUACCUUAUGAAUAAGGAUCGGCUAACUCCGUGCCAGCAGCCGCGGUAAUACGGAGGAUCCGAGCGUUAUCCGGAUUUAUUGGGUUUAAAGGGAGCGUAGGUGGAUUGUUAAGUCAGUUGUGAAAGUGUGCGGCUCAACCGUAAAAUUGCAGUUGAAACUGGCAGUCUUGAGUACAGUAGAGGUGGGCGGAAUUCGUGGUGUAGCGGUGAAAUGCUUAGAUAUCACGAAGAACUCCGAUUGCGAAGGCAGUUCACUGGACUGCAACUGACACUGAGGCUCGAAAGUGUGGGUAUCAAACAGGAUUAGAUACCCGGGUAGUC
rnacentral:rRNA from 1 species